UGCUUACAAUAGGCACAUUAGUCCUUUUA
rnacentral:piRNA from 1 species